AGUGAACGCUGGCGGCAGGCCUAAUACAUGCAAGUCGAACGGCAGCACGGCAGAGCUUGCUCUGUGGGUGGCGAGUGGCGGACGGGUGAGGAAUACAUGGGAAUCUGCCCAGUCGUGGGGGAUAACGUAGGGAAACUUACGCUAAUACCGCAUGCGCCCUUCGGGGGAAAGCCGGGGACCUUCGGGCCUGGCGCGAUUGGAUGAGCCCAUGUCGGAUUAGCUAGUUGGUGGGGUAAUGGCCUACCAAGGCGACGAUCAGUAGCCGGCCUGAGAGGGUGAACGGCCACACUGGAACUGAGACACGGUCCAGACUCCUACGGGAGGCAGCAGUGGGGAAUAUUGGACAAUGGGCGCAAGCCUGAUCCAGCAACGCCGCGUGGAGGAUGAAGGCCUUCGGGUUGUAAACUCCUGUUAGGGGAACGAAGGGUCACGGGUUAACAGCCGGUGACCUUGACGGUACCUCCAGAGGAAGCCCCGGCUAACUCUGUGCCAGCAGCCGCGGUAAAACGUCUA
rnacentral:rRNA from 1 species